ACGGGAGGCAGCAGUGGGGAAUCUUCCGCAAUGGGCGAAAGCCUGACGGAGCAAUGCCGCGUGAAUGAAGAAGGCCUUCGGGUCGUAAAGUUCUGUCCUUAUUGAAGAGAGGUUUAUGUGUAAAUAAUGCAUAGAUAGGACGGUAGAUAAGGAGGAAGCCCCGGCUAACUACGUGCCAGCAGCCGCGGUAAUACGUAGGGGGCAAGCGUUGUCCGGAAUCACUGGGCGUAAAGGGCGCGUAGGCGGCUCGAUAAGUCAGAUGUGAAAAGUGAGGGCUCAACCCUUAGAGUGCAUCUGAUACUGUCGGGCUUGAGUGCAGAAGAGGAAAGCGGAAUUCCUAGUGUAGCGGUGAAAUGCGUAGAUAUUAGGAGGAACACCAGUGGCGAAGGCGGCUUUCUGGGCUGUAACUGACGCUGAGGCGCGAAAGCGUGGGGAGCAAACAGGAUUAGAUACCCUGGUA
rnacentral:rRNA from 1 species